AGCACGCACAGAGCCUAAUUGUGUUUGUGUAUUAUUGAGCCACCAGAGGGCGCCCUCUGCUCACAUGCAGGACAAUGACUUUCUCAUACUAAUUUGUUACCAUAGCUGUGCUUGCAGCAGCAUAUUUAAUAGUAAUACAUUGCAGUAACUGUUGUUUUGUUUUGUUUUUUAAUCUAUGUUUUUAUUACUUUCUGUUGCUGAUUUUAUCAUUCAGUAAGAUAUCUAAAAAUGGUGUAGUUUUGAAAAUAACUUUGGAAAGGUUGUUCAUGUGGCAAAUAUCAAUAUAACUUUUUCCUACCAGUUAACUGGUGGUGUGACUGGGAGGCCAGUUUUAUUGAGUAUGUUUUUGUAAAGUAACACCAUCAGUCUAAAUGUGCUUAACGAAGGCUAAAAGGAGACAAACUGGCCCAAUAAAACACCAUGGGGAUACUGAAGAGCUCAUUUCCAUUUUAGACGUGCAUGCCCAGUUUAUCACCCUGCCAGUUCUUUUAAACGCUUGCAGUGUUGUUGAAUAGUAGCUCUAGCUGUUAAUGAAUGAAUGCAAUGCUGAUGGCCUAAAUAGGUUAGAAACAGUUGUGUGAGUGGAACAUGUAUAUAUCUUCUGAUGUGCUUUUCCUGAGGUAUAUAAUAGUUGUGAAGCAUAGAGAACAUUGUCCCCUUUUUGUUAUAAUUUAAUGUAAACCUAGUAGAUUUAUUCUGACUGUUUUCUGACUGUGUUGUCAGAAGUAAAAACACACAUUCUGGUUGUUGUGUUUAGUGUCACUCUCUGUGUUUUAAAAUAUGAUGCACAUCAGACCAAAUGUUGAAAAAUAUAAUGACCAGGUUUGUGUCAUCUGUGCUGCCAAACGCUUGUUAUUGGUUAGUUGAUGUUGCUUUGUAGCCUUACAUGAACUCCAGAUGGCACUGUUGAUCACUGUGGGACUUGGGAUGAAGCCAGACAGGCAGUAUCGAUGUGCUCCUAGUGUCAGUCGAUUAUCGAAUGCUGGAGGCUUACCCGGAGCGAACAGAGAGCAUUUUACCUCUAAAAUAAAACAGGCUUUUAGAGGAUUAUUUUAUGAAUAUAUCAGUUUUAUAUGUCCACAGGUAAAACAAUUGGUCAGAAUCAUAUUUUGAGCAGCCAAUCUUUGUUACACAGCAUCUCAUCCAGCUUUGUCACAGCAGAUGUGAGACGCAACAAGUGUGGAGCUUUGUGACUGUUGUAAGCCAAGAUUGAUUAGCAGUGGUAAUGGCAAAUGCUCUAUGUACAGUUUCCUAAUGGCAAGUGUCUGGAAGAGAUGUCAAAUCGUUGUUUGUAAUAUAAUUUAAUAAUUUAGACUGUUUUGUCAUGAUUCAAGGCAUGCAGGGGAAAAUAGAUAGGUACAUUUUUUUAAGGUAAGAAGGAUGCAUGAAGCGUACGAGAAUAAAAUAAAACCUAAUGAAUCUUUGCUCUAAGGAAAAUAGCCUGCUGCUUCUAAAAUAACUUGCCAGUAGUAUAACAUGGUGCAGUAAGAUUGGAGGGAAAAUGGUGGCUUUUUCAAGGUCGGGAGCUUUUUUUUUUGGUGAAAAUGUGAGAAAACAGGAACCAUAUUAUCUUUUUAGAACUGUGCAAUGACAUGAAAUCAGUGAUUGCAUCUGCUGCAUUAUAGUCCAAUUUGAAGAUUCCUGCUUUGAAGUAAUAGUCUGUGGUUAUAUUUAAAUCAGCCUUCUGAUGACCACAACCCUAUAAACCAACAGACAAACACAAACAAAUAUUGUUAUGCCAGCUUUAGCAAAAAGAAAGCUUGAUGUUGUGCCUUUUUAUAGCUUAAAAUUGGCUAAGUAUUCUGUAAUUGGAGUACUUUUAUAAUAUUGAGACAUGGGCUAUGUGCCAUUUUUAAAUCUUAUUGAGAAGAAAACUGGUUAUUUAUUGCAUUUGUUGUUCAGGAUCACCAAUAACCACACAUACAUUCAUUAAUUAUCACAUUGUUAUCAUGAACAGGAUUAGUGUAUACCUCCAAGUGCAUAUGAGCACAGGCAAACAUUCACAUAUACAGUUUAUAAUGGAUUGACAGGUACUCCCCAAGUCCCACUGUCAAGUAGAUGCACUAAUGUGUGUGUGUGUGUGUGUGUGUGGCGCUGUCAGCAUGAGUGGAACUAGGCUGUCACAAUGUUUUGUGGAUCACUGGGUUGUCUGUGCAAGACAAAGAGUGUGUGUGGGAGUGACAGACAGAGCAGGGGGAUGUUUACCUCACACUUCUCAUCCUCAAAAAGCUUGUGUUUUUGUCAAGUGUUUUUCACAACAAUACAUACAUAUUUAAAAUGCAUGAGAGGUAAAACUGAGCUCUGCAUUCACUUCUCUGAUAUUAUAGUGCACUGUUCACAGCACACAGCGUGGCGCUAAAUACUGAGUUAUAAUGCUCUCUGUUUGUACAAAUAAAGUUUGUGUCUGCUGCAAGCCUAAAAGUUACAUAAGCUUUUUAAAUAACAACUAUUUAAAUUUAAAAGAAUCCACCAUCCACCAUUUGUAAGAAAUAAAAUACACCCUCCACUUGUUUUUGGUCUGGUGUUACCAGUAGCUUGUUUGCAACCUUAGAUAAAUAUUGUUGUGUAGUUGACAUUGUUAAGUCAGUUUUCUAACUUGGCUCUUCCCUUCUCUUUUAAUGGCAUAAUCACAAAGUAAAAGAAACCUGCAUGUGGUCCCAUUCCACUCGCUCUCAGUCAGGUCACCUAAUGAUGAUGUAUUUAAAGCAAAUGACUCAAGAGAAUCUUGGAAAAUGAAAGGAAAUUAAAUGUGAGAUUAUCCUGCAGUAGCCACAGCGUUUGCCUUUCUGCAAAAGUUGCAUCGUACUUUUUGGAAGUUUGUGCUUUUUGAAUUUAGUUCUUCAUUAAGAUUGUUCUUGGAGACAACAUCUAGUGACCAUCAAAGGAACUGCAGCUGGAGGCAGAUGGUGGUGGUUGAACAUUAGCUCUUCCGAGGCACUGGCCUGCACACACAGCAUGUUACUAAAUUAAUGCAGGAUAAAUUGAGUAUUAGAGCUCACUGACGCACAUGCACAGAGGUGUUGGGGCACUGGGACACUUUAUUGACAUGACAGACAUCUAUAUGGAGGGGUGAGGCAAGGUUAGACCUUCACAUCCCAAUAUCCUAGAUGUAUUUUUAGAUAAUCAGGUAACUGACCUAAUAAUUACAACACUUAUAACAACUUGAAGAGAAACUGGUAGUGCCAGUUUAGCCAGCUGUACUGCAGAAGAAUAUGUCAACAAACUAGCACGGACAACUUCCAAAGCAUACAGUAGGUUUAAAGUUGUUAGAUUGAAGACAUUUUUCAUGACCUGAAAACAGUGGCUGCAGGGAAGAUAGGAGAACACAUGAAUCAGUCUGAAUACCUGUGGUUUAUGAAUGGUAGAGCUGUACAUUUCUGUAGUGUAAAGCCACAGUGAACAGUACUUAACACUUAGUUGGAUGGCAUUGCUCUCUAUAGGUAAGCAAUUACUCAGCAUUCUUAUUACUCAAUGUAGACAUUGAUGCAGCAGGGAAUAAAGAAUUGACUCCUUAGUCAACAAUUCAACAAAUUCAACUGAGAGAUAACUAAUAAUUCACUAAUAACAUGAAUAAUUGAAAUUAGGGGGCAGCUAUUGCAUACUUUUGUCAACAUCUAGAUUACUUAUAAAUUAUUGAAUAAGAAUAACGUCAUACAUUAGAUAUUGUAUUCCUAAUCAAAUAUGGACUGUAUGUGGGGUUGGUAGACUUGGAAGAAAUAGUUUCAUGUAUCCUCUAGAUAGUACCACAGAGUUUAAUACUGCUGCUUUAUAUGAUAUCACCCUGUGUAAAUUACACCAGAGAAAGUGAUAUCUCCUGGUUGAAUUGAUUCUUGCUGGGUCUAACCUGCUCUACAUUCCUGUUGCUCACACGGUUCCUCUGAGGUUCAGUGUGCUUUUUCUGUUGGUGUACAGUGGUCAGUGACUGUGUGUGUGUGUGUGUGUGUGUGUGUGUGUGUGUGUGUGUGUGUGUGUGUGUGUGUGUGUGUGUGUGUGUGUGUGUGUGUUAAUCCCAUAAUCCACAGUACAACAUAAUCCACAACUGAGCCUGUAAUACAAAACCCAAUAGUGUGUUUGUGUGGGGAUGGGGGAGGAAGCCAGAAUAUAAGGACAGUCAGAGGAAAGGGUGAAGAAAAGAGCGGCUGGUGUAUCUGUUUACAGUGCAGCCAAACAAACUGAUUUGGUUUUACAUGAACAGAGUGAGGCUGUUAUCAUAAAAUUACAAACAGUAACCCUGGAUUACAUUUAAUGCACAAAGGUCAUUGUAAUCCUGUCCUGGCCACUAACAAUAAAUACUAAUUACAGACUGUAAAUACAUUAAAUUGCUAUUUGUGAUCACAUUUCAAAAACAAAAUAAAACUUGCCAACUUGGGGGAAUUCAAAUCAAGACAUAUCGCCACCUUUUAAAUUAAUAUAGCAAACUUGUUAGCAAACAGUUGUUUAUUUAUACAUCCAGCUGUCAUGUAGCAACAUUAUCGUCUUUUGUCUCAGAGUUGUGUUUUGGACACCUGAUGAAUGUUAGUCCAAUAUUAACUCUCUUUUAGCGCUAUUUUUGCUCUCUAUUAACCCCAGAGGGAAAUAUCUCUCUUUAGCUGCUAAACUCUCCACUGUGUUCAUGUUUUAAAUGUGUCUUCUGAAAACUACGCUUUGAGAGUUAAUAGGGUUUAAACUCACUAUAAAACUCUGUAAAGCCAAGGGCAGCUGCAGAUUUAGGUGGUAAUUCUCUGUAGAUGAAUCACUACAAGCAACCACUUUGACAUUAAUAUAAAAAUAUCAUUAUAGCCGCUUUAAUGUCUGUAACCUAAUGGAAUAACACUGGUACUACAUUAGGCUUGCAACCUUUGUCACAUGUUGUUCUCCUUCCUGCUUUCAUGUUUUUUUUCCUCUCCCCUCUGUUCUAUAUACUAGAGAAGAAGAAGAAAAAAUGGCAUAAAAUAUUGUGUUGCCCUGUCCACUUCUGUUUAAACCGAUGGAUGAAUGUUUAUAACUCGGGACAAAGUUUAUUAGAACAAAAACACACACUAAAUCUCUUCUCAUUCUUUUUCCACACUGCUCUGAUGGAUUGUGAUGUUAAUGUAAGCAGAAGAACGGAGGUAUUUAAAUAAAUGAGUGUUUAAGAGAUAGAUAAUCGGUCCUUGCUGUUUUCUGCUCCGUGACAAGUCACCAUACUUGUCAUGUCACUUCAGAAGGUCCUUGUUGGGGGAAAAAAAGUAAGUAAUGUUUAAACUCCUUUCAGUUAGCCUGAAACGAUGCAAAAAAUGGGUAGUUGAAAGGCCAAAGGAAAAAAAAAGGUUGAGAGAGAAAUUCCAAAAUGUCAUGGCUUUACUUGUUUGUGUUCUUACAUACACACAUAAAUGGUCAGUGUGACAUUUCCAGUCGGCCUGUAAAGUUGAGGUAAUACUCAGUAGACUGGUAGGUAUAGCUCCUGUCACGGCCUAUUGGUAUUUACGGUACAACACACUCACCCACAGCUUUACAUACAGUACGGAAACACAUCUACACAGGCAUAAAUAUAUGCAUACAGAAGCACACCGACUCAAACAGCUUGCACACGUGGACAGAUGAAGGUGGUUUGUUGAUCUGUGACCCUUUGGUAUUUCAUUGAGAUAAGGUCACUCACUUCUGUACACACUGUGCUGCUUUGCUUUUUCCUAUAAAACGAGUCUUUGGCAGCACUCAUUUUCCAGUCGCCAGCCGCGAGUGCCAGAUGACGCAAUUUGCUCAUUUCCAUGUAAGUGGACUAAUUUCUUCAUGGUGAAAUAUUGAAUCCGUUAACUGAUGCAUUAAGACUGAUAUUGAGGAAUAGUAUUUGGGGAUUAUUGGGGCCUUAAAUGUAAAAUGUAAUAUAAAAACUUAUAGACACUAUCAUGUCCAGUUGGAGAUGGUUGAAUUCAUUCAGAUAAAAUACACUAAACACAGUCAAUGGGCUAAAGAAAAUAACAGAAUUGAUGUCAAAAUGCAGUCAAUGAACUCGAUGGAUAGUUAUUUAUUUUUUGGUCACUCAACUAAUAUCUAAAAUCCUUAUGAUAAAAAUAAUAUUGAUACUGAAAAGACUUGAAUAUUAAAAGUAACAUGGCUGGGGAAAAUUGGAUAAAUAAACUAUUAUUUCUUGUGACUCAGCAGGUCAUUUGCAUUUUCUUCCCCUUUUUUCUCUUCACUUUGAAUUCCCAAUAGCGUUUCUUUAAGCUUGUUAUACGAGGGCCACCAAGUAUGUCUUUUGGGACCAUGGGGACAAAAAUGAAUACAAACCAAAAGUGGUCAGCCUGAAAUAUAAAUAUAUAUUCUUAUUUCUUUAAGGCGUUCCUCAUGGAAUGAUCAUCACUACUAGCUCUGUUUCUAAUAAUUAAUUGUACUGAAUAGACUCUCAAACUCCCUCAUCGCUCUUCCUUAUCCUCCCACUCACCCUCUUUCUCUUUUCUGUAAUUCAUUAGAGUGAGCAGGCAUCCACAUUCCUAAUUCAUUAGAGAGCAUCUGAAUAUGGCCUUUGUUGUAGUAUUGCAUAUAUCCAUCUCAUACCACAGCAGCAUUGCAUUUUCACAUGAUUGAACCUUUUAGAAAUUUCAUCACUUCAACAAUUUAACACAGCUGAGGGCAAGAAAUAUUAAUGGUAAUCCAACAGUCUAUCCUUAGAUGUAUGUUGUCCUGCUUAUGCCACAUUCAUGUCAUAUCGUUAAGACCGUAUUUACUUGUCAGACUACAAGAUAUCGACCAGAUAAUGGCCCGACAGGUUUGGCAGUUGUUUGGUUUAUCCUGUGUCGUGUCACGGUAAAAGACAACCACUACAGCAUCUGAAACUGCCUUCAUGACGUCCCAAAAUAAAGGCCAACAUGCCUUUGACAACUUCUAGAAGAUGUUGUUGUUGAAGUAAGAGAAAGGGAUGUUCUACCAGGCACAUGUAUCAGUACUGGCUGGGACUUUUGUGGUGCUACCAGGUGAACGGAGAAGUCGGUCCCUAGACUCUCCUUCCCAAUCUACUCUAUUUGGACCCUGAAAGAUGGCAAGUUAGGAUUGGUCUGGGUCAAACUUGUAGUCUUCUGUGUCUCUUUUCAAAUAUUGGUAAAGCAAGAAUAAUAAACCUUAUGCGUAGUAUGCCAGUAUGUUAUCGCAUGUUGGUGUCUGAAUCUUCACUAACAGCAAACAGUAAAUACCUUGCAUCUUAGUGCUUGCAGUAGUGAAUGUUAAGAGGAUAGGAGAAGGGCUGGAGUGAGAUUAAGCAGAUGAGAGAAGAAAGAAAGAGGCAGACAAGGGAAGAAGGAGAAACGAAAGCAGCAUUGACUGCGCAGCUAGGAGGAUGGAGGGACUUUGGAGAUUGAAGAGGAUAGAGCAAGGAAUAAGUGAGAUUAAACAACAAUGAUAAAUGAGUAUGGCAAGAGAAAGGAGAGACAGAGGAGAGGAGAAUGGGAUAGCAGAAGCAGUAGAAUUAAACAGAUAGCAAGGAUGAGAACAGCAGAUAGGAUGGCCAGACAGACGGCGAGAGAAAAAAUUGAGAGUCUGAGUGAAGGUGACAUUAGUUUGAUAUUAAAGGCAGGGGCAAGGAGGCCGACAUGGGUCAAGCAAAGACAGUGUCAGACGGUGUGAUGGAAAGAAAGGGAGAGGAAUAAUAGUAAAGUACAGCGACAGACGGAGAAAGAUUGGAUAAGGGUUUAGAAAGGGAGAAAUGUCCCUCAGGUUUUCUGUUUUUGGAAAAUGUUUAACUCCCUUUGUUUCUCUGCCUGACUGUCUCUAAACAUUUUAUUUUAGUGUUGAUAAUUUUGAAGAUUUACUUGGAUGAGAAGAACUUUUGUUUUGCUGCAGCAUGUGAAAACUGUAACUUUGGAAAUCAACCAGUUUUUUUAGGAAGCUUGAUCUAGAAAAAUGUCUUUUUCGGAUCUGUAAAUUUCCUGUUAAACUUAAUAACCCUUAAAUGACCAUAGUUUAGUCUUUUCUGAUUCAAAUCUGAUUGCCAUUAAAAACGUUUCAAUUAGGAAAUAAAAUUAAGAAGUCUAUGUCCAGAAUGCAAACAACCUCAAGCUGUUGCAGAAAUACAAACCCACAGCAGUGAACAUAACAGAAAACCCCCACAGCCGUGAACUGUAGGAUUGAUUCAGAGAAGCUUUAAUAACCUGAACAGUCUGGAUGAGCAAAUAAAAAUACCACAGAGCAGUUGCAUUCAACCCAACAAUUAACUGAAUGGUCAGCUUGUCCACUGGAGUGUGAGUAAAUGCUGACGGAGCACGAGGGAAAAAUGCAGCUUCACAUUAGAUUUACUAAAUCAGUUGAACGCAAUAAACCAGUGAACAGCAUGACAAGGCCUGUAGUUUUCAUUGUGUGUGAGAGAGACAGAGAGAGGCAAUUAGAGAAGCAAUCAGGCUUUAAAAUUAUAUUUUUUUCCACCCAAAGGUACAGCUAUAAUUAAAAUAUGAAUGGUGUUCUAGCUGGCCAGGUAAUUUAAUGGUAGGGCCAAUUCAUAAUUCAAUUGGGGAAAAAAAUCCCAUGUUCCUGAGCACCGCAAAAUACCAACAGUGGAACCAACGCAUUUUUAACUCCUGAGAGCUGAACGUUUGAACCGUACUGUCAAUGGUUUGAACCAAGAAAUAAAGAUACAGCAGGGGAGCAAUGAGCAAGAACAGUAAGAACACUGAGGGGUUUCCUAUAGCUUUACCACACAUGUAUAUUUGGAAUAGUAAAAUACUUUACCAGGUGUUUAUACCAGCACUAAAUACAUAUCAUAUGUAGCAAAACUGCUGGACACGUGGCACUGUGUGGCUGUGCCUGUUUAAUUGUUGUAGUAUAAAUGCUAAAAUGGUAGGCAUGUCACACACAGGCUUAACAUUAUUAUCAGGCACUUGUUUUUGUGCUUGUUCAUGGUGUGUGCAUUGGAUGUUUUUCUUUUGUGCAUUUGCGUUUGCCUGACUACAGUCAAUUAUUAGUAUUAUGAUAAACAGUAGGCCAUAUCACGCAGCAGACUGAAGUCCCUGUUAUCUGCAGCAUGCAGUUGUCUUAUUCUCUUUAUGUACAUAACCUGUCUUGUGACUGAGUACUGAGGCACGGAGUCGACCUUCAGCUAAACAAAGUCAACACUGUUGCAGUGUUUCUUUAGUCAUCUCUCUCUCUCUCUCUCUCUCUCUCUCUCUCUCUCUCUCUCUCUCUCUCUCUCUCUCUCUCUCUCUCUCUCUCUCUCUCUCUCUCUCUCUGCCUCUCUGCUUUGAAAAUGUGCUGAAUGUGGCUCUUACACAGGUACUCACAAACCUGCACGUUACUGCAUAUAACAUACAUUUCCAUUGUGUUGAUUUGCCCUCAAGCUGUCUUGUAGUUACAGGAAAGAAAUAUGUACAGAUAGAGAGAAUUAAUACAUCCAUAAAUGACAUGUUCUUUAUGUGCUUUAAUAAUCAACAUGUCAUUUCUACCUGGUUGUGAUUAAUGGUUUUAGAUACUAAUAAUAACCUGAUGGUACCAACCAUUAAAAAGCACAGAUCAAUUGGAUUAUGUCUGUGUGUAUGCGGGGUAUGAUGUGUUCAUGUACACAUAUGGGAACAGUACAGCUGACACUCAAUAGCAAUUUGGCCUUGUCAAUGACAACACUUAAGCCCUACAAAUAGCAGUCAUCACAGCUGUGUGUGUGUGUGUGUGUGUGUGUGUGUGUGUGUGUGUGUGUGUGUGUGUGUGUGUGUGUGUGUGUGUGUGUGUGUGCGUGUGCGUGUGUGUGUGUGUAAAGUGGCAGCUGUGAUUUGAAUGCUGCUGUUGGAGACAGGGCUCCACUGUGUACUCACACAGCUGAGGUCAGUGCAUAAUGCAAUACAAUGUAUGUGGUGUGCUUGUGUGUGUGUGUGUGUGUGUGUGUGUGUGUGUGUGUGUGUGUGUGUGUGUGUGUGUGUGUGUGUGUGUGUGUGUGUGUGUGUGUGUGUGUGUGUGUGUGUGUGUCAACAUCUUCCAUCUCUUCACACUCACAUCCCCUUACCCCUUGUUUGUAAUCCUCCAUUAACUCUGAGGAGUAGAGAUGUGUUUUUAACUAGGCCUCACCUUCAGGGUGGUGCACAUGCAGCAACAAAAAAAGCCUCCCUGGAAAUGGUGGAGAUUGAGUUUUGCACUCAAGGGCUCAUCAGCAGAGCUGCUGAAGGGUGCUGUCGAGAGGGCUUGAACCGUAUCCUUAUGGUUGAAAAGCAUUUUUUUCGAUCACUUUUCUACCUUCAGCCUCAUCAUUUUACGUCGAGUUACACAUUGCAACAGAACAAGCAUCUUAUGAAUAACUUUUCUUUACAUUUUAAAUUUUAGAAUAUCAGAUUUUGUUGCUGAUAGUUGCAGAGAGCAGGUUGGCAUGCAGAGCUGGAAAGUAGCCUUAGAGUAGUAGAGUUAUAUGGGUGCAUUUUCUUCAGCAGCCCACAGUUUUGAAUUAAGUGUGAAUUUCCACAGAGGAAGUGUCAUAGGGAUCAGGGAUUUCCUGAUUGUGUUUUCUGCACACCUAGCCUGCAGUAUCGCAACAUUUUAAUUAGCAAAGCAAAUGAAAUAGCUUUGCAUUGGCACUGGGUAGUAACACGUUUUUUGUCUUCAUUGUUACACGUGGUUGAUUUGAGUUUAUGAGUUGUAUCGUGGUCGAGGCAGACGGCCAUCCACCUAGAGCCGGGGUCUGCCCUAGGUUUCUGCCUCUUAAAAGGAAGUUUUUACCUUGCUACCGUCGCCAAGUGCUUGCUCAUGGUGGGAACUGUUGGGUCUCUGUAAAUUAUUUUAUAAGGAGUACAGUCUAGACCUGCUCUAUUUGAAAAGUGUCCUGAGAUAACUUUUGUUAUGAAUUGCUGCUUUACAAAAAAAUAAAAUUGAAUUGACACUGUGGAAGAACAAAUUUACUCCAUUUCACAUCAAACUAAACUCGUCUUGCUACAUUUGCUAAUCAGUGCAAACUCCAUUUCUUUCAUGCUCAGGAACUUCAAAGAGCCUGGUGGUAUGUUUGACUCUUAGCCCUUUUUUUUUUUUGCUUUGCUCUGUCAGAAUAGAGCUUUCAAUCAGUGCUAACAACUCACACUGCCAGACUACACCGAGCUCCGACUGUGAGCGCUCGUUUCAGGCCACUACAUCAAAGUGCAGUGCAGACACUGAGACUCACUAUGCAAAUAUCCAGCGAUGCUGCCAACGUCAUGCAGUGGGAUUAAGCAUUGAUUGAGGCUUUGACAGCAAGCUAAGAAGAUGAAAGGUUUUGGAGGAGUAACACUAAAAAGAAACCAAAGCUCAUUCGAGGCAGGUGGAAUUAAAGAAAUAACAGCGUGACAGCCUGACACCAUCGGGUCGAGCUCAGCUAGGUUCAGGAGGUGAAUAACACAUUGUGUUAUCUAUUAUUCAUUACAUUUGCAGCAUUUUAUGAAUGACUGCAGAAUACAAGAUGAUAUGAAAUCACCUGAAUAUAAAUGUGAAACUGCUCACAAUCUACGCGUCUCCAUAUUCCCUCGACCCUCACCUAGGGAUACCCAUCUUUACUUUGUGCUACAAAAAAGUAGUUUAAACUGGUUAUGAAACAGUCUCAGUUUUAUACUGCUGCCUCUAUAUGACCUACAUAAACAAACAAGUCCAUUAGUGAGAAGACUGUUUCUGUGUAGUUGUUGUUAAUGCCAGUCACCGGGUCAGAUUCCCCUCAAAAUCACAGUGGAUAUUACUUUAGUACAAAUGGCUUAUAAUGUAACAUAAUGUAUCUGAGCUAAAACCUGCUGUUGGCUUAUUAUUAUGAAGACAUAAUAUUAAUGUUGAUAACUUUCUCAACUAUUAAUUUUACACAUUUUACAAGUUACCUCAUUGGUUUGCAUCUUGCAAACAAUAAUAGAAAAAUCAAGACAAAAUAAAGUUCCAUGUAGUUGCUUUAACCUCGAAAUUGAUUUAUUUUAAAAAAAAUUAAUUUUGAUAGAUUUUUAUUAUUAUUACUCCUUUUAGAAUACUUGGCUGACACAAAAUACCAUUACAGUUCUCAUAAAUAAAACAGAUACAUGCAGUAGCAGGCAGCAGCUGUGCCAGCUAUUCAACAACCAUUAUUCAAGCUUUGGUGACGAGGGGAGGUGGAGUCUGGAGCCCCCCUCCCCCUCCACACCACACACACACACACACACACACACACACACACACACACACACACACACACAGAGAGAGGGUAGUGUCUGCUGUCUCCUCAUAUAUACUGCUCCCUUUUCCUCUUCCACACACUUGCCACACUCGUAAGCAUGCUCACUCUUUCUCUUUCUUGAAUAUACACUUAAGCUUGCUCACACAACACACCCCUCCUCCUCUGUCCCCUUUCAGCCACACAUACGCAGACAUUAACACACACACACACACACACACACACACACACACACACACACACACACACACACACACACACACACACCUUCUAUCUUUUACAUAUCCCUCCUCCACUUUCCCCUCCGCACACACCUAAAAAAAUUACUCUUUUUGUCUCAUACACACACACUCCAGCUCUCCCAUUCUCUUCUUUCUUUCACCCUCCGUCUCUCUCUCUCUCUCUCUCUCUCUCUCUCGCUCGCUCGCUCUCUCUCUCUCUCUCUCUCUCUCUCUCUCUCUCUCUCUCUCUCUCUCUCUCUCUCUCUCUCUCUCUCUCUCUCUGACACACA